CAAAAGCACCGACCAAUCGGAGGGCGUAAAGAAGAGCGACGUGCCCACCCACCCCGCUCCGCGUUGCCUGGAGGCCCUGUGGACGUAAGCAAAUAAGAAGGAAACUGGGCGUUGAAAGAGUGGCGCUGAUUAGCGGAUCUGGAAUCGCCUGGAUGAAAACCCACUUGUGAUUCGUCGUAAGUAGAUCAAAGCCCCUGUGGGCUGGAACUGGCCGGACAGUGAGGUGUGAGUAGGGGACCUGGGAGAAGGAGAGCCAGUGCGUUGAGAUGAUGUCAUAUGGAUGGCAUUUAGGUAGCUCCACGAUUGAUUUUUCCCAGACUUGCGUUCUACUUAAUUACAAAGGGCUUGAGCCAGUGACAGUCCAGGAAUGGGUGAACUACCUAUCUCCCACCACCAGCAGCACUAGGGCCAAGUUACCCUCUAUGGAAUCCACAUUUGUAUUGAACUGUAAGGCAGGAGUCCAGACCCUCAUCAUCCCUUACCCAGAGAGUCCCCUAUUGGUCACUAAUCUCUGGUCUCUGAGUUCGAUUCAUAUGCACUGAGCCACCAGCUACCUGGUUAAAAAUUAAGAAUUAUCUCAAAAAUUUCAUAAACAGACAAUCACACUGGGUAGUAUAAUGAAUACCUAUGCCCUAUUAACUGGAUUAACAAACAUUAACAUUUGGGCACCUCGGCUUCAGUUUUUUCUUUGAAAUAAAUAAAACAUCCCAGAUUUGAUCCUCAGAUCCCUUUUGUUCUCUUUUCUGGCCCCAUUUACCUUCCUCCCUUCUUCCCUCCCAGAGGCAAACAUUCUUUUGAAAUUGUUGUACAUCAUUCAUGCCCAUGUAUUUGUAUUUCUGUGGUAUAUCUGUACAUUAUAAAUGAUAUAAAUUGCUUUUUUAAAUUUUAAAAAUACAAGUAGUGUCAUACUGUGGGCUUCAUUUUGUAAUUUGCUUUUAUUACUCAACAUUAAAAAAAAUUUUUUUUUAAUGCUUACUUAUUUUUGAGAGAGAGAGGGAGAGAGAUUGUGAGCGGGGAAGGGGCAGAGAGGGAUACAGAGAAUACCAAGCAGGCUCCGCACCAUCAGCACAGAGCCCAACAUGGGGCUUGAACCCACGAACCGUGAGAUCAUGACCUGAGCCAAGAUCAGUUGGACAUUCAACCAACUGAGCCACCCUGGCGCCCCUCAACAUUGUUUUUGAGAUACGUUCAUAUCAAUACAGAUAGCCAAGUUCAUUUAUUCUAAGUGUUUCUUAUGAGUAUAAUGUUGUAUCCGUUCUUAUGAGUGUAACAUCAUAUCCAUUCCCUUAUUGGUGGACACUUAAUGUUUUUUCAGAUGUUUUGCUAUUAUGAAAAAAGCUGCAAUAAACAUCCCUGUACAUGUCUCUUAAUGCAAGAAUUUUUCUAGAACAGUGAUUCUCCAAGGGGAUGGUACUGCCCUGUUGGUCAUUUUGGAAUUUGUGAGAGCAUACUUGGUUAUAAUUGUGAUUUUGGCAGCAUUACUGGGGUUUACAGAGCAGGGUGGGAUGCUAGACGUUCUGCAGUGAAGAACUGUCCUGCAUCCUGCACAAUUUUUGAGUGUCCCACAGGGUAGCCAUUUAUAAUCUGAGCCUAGAGCCUAACUCCAUUUUUCAUAUAAACAUUAUAUAUAUGUGUGUGUGUAUAUAUAUAUAUAUAUAUAUAUAUAUUUUUUUUUUUUUUUUUUUUUGGCACAGCUUGCUAUAGUAAAAUUUCCAGGAAUGCAACUCAAAUGUAAAUCAAGGGGAAAUUAUACUUACUUGUGUUUUGGAACUUUAACAAGAGUUGUUCAUCACUUGAGAAGAUCGCAUAACCGAAGGCAGCCCAGCUCGUGGUAUUUGAGUUGCCAUACAACACACCUGCAUGAGCCUGCAUUUGUAGCUUUUGCGUUCGUGGCGAUUCUAAGUUUAGGUGCAAGCAUCUGACUGCUGUACUUCAUUAUGUAUUCUAGUGUAGUCAGCCUGAACAUUUGUAUAUUUAAACAUAUGCUGCUUUAUUAUGAAUUACUUUCCAUUUAAAAUUGGCUCGUAUAGGAUAUAAAGUAGAGGUCGAGUAUUACUCUUUUCUGAUUGGAUAAUCAUUUGUCCCAACACCAUCUAUGAAAUCCUUUACCUGCUGAAGCCAAGCCGACUCUGUCCUGUACAAAGUUCUCAUAAAUACACGGAUCUGUUUCUGGAUUCUCUAUUUUAUUCCGCUGAUCCAUGUGUCUUUAUGCCAUAUCACACUGUUUUAAUUACCUUGGUUUUAUAAUGUGUCUUGCGGCAGUUGGUAACAAGAAAGGCAAGUCUCCAUCCUAGUUCUCAAAAUUGUUUUCGCUAUUCUUGGGCUUUUGCUCUUCCAUAUGAAUUGAGGAUCCGUUUUCAAGUUCCAUGAGUUCCACAAAAAUUUAUUUUGAGAUUUUGGUUAGAACUGCAUUGAAUUGAUACUGAGGUCUUUUAAUAUUGAACCAUUCUGUCCAGGAAGGUAGGUUAUUUCUCUGUUCAGGUCUGUUUUGUUAGUCUCCUACGGCCUUUAAAAAUACAUACCUUUUAAUAAAGUUGAACAAUUUUUGCUGUAAAAACCAUACACACCUUUUUUUGGAUUUAUUCCUACUUAUACACACACAUAUCUUUCUAUUACAAAAGUUUCAAAUACAUUCAAAAGUAUAAAAAAUAUUAGAGCCAACACUUGUGUACUCAUGAUCCAGCUUCAACAAUUCCCCCACGACCAGUCUUAUUUCAUGUUACUCUCCCCUCCCCUCCUCUCCCUGGAUAAUUAUGAAGUUCCCAGACACAAUUUUCUGUUCUCUGUGUUAUGUGUAUGUAUGUAUGUGUGUAUGUGUGUGUGUGUGUAUGUAUAUGUAUAUAUAUAUAAAUGUGGUCACAUGGCUAAAAGAUGGUGAUAGAUAUAAAGAUGGUGAGAUAUAUAUAUAUAUAUAUCUUUUAGCCAUGUGACCACAAUGUCACCACAGUUUAACAAAUAAAUAAUUAUUCCCUAAUACCACUGACUAUCCAGAUACUGGUCAGAUUUCCCAAGUUGUGACAUUUGGCUUGUUUCAAUCAGGGUUCUAAUUUCUCCAUGUCUUUGUCAACACUUGGUGGUGUUGCCUCCUCCAGAACAAAAAGAUAAUAGAUGAUUUAAUUUUGAACUGUCCUUUCUCAUCCUCCACACAACUGUAGACAAAUAUUUUAGCUCUACCUUUUUUUUAUUAUUGAAGUAUAAUUGGCCUACAGUGUUAUAUUAGUUUCAGGUAUACAACGUAUUGAAUCACUGUGACUUAUUUAUUUCAUACUGGAAGUUUGUAGCUCCCUAGCCAUUCUGGUGGCUAUCUAGAGGGAUUGCAAUUUGGUUUUCAUUUGCAAGUUCCUAAUGACUAAUGUAAUUGAGCACCUUUUCACACAUUCAUUGGCUGUUCGUAUAUCCACUUUAAGUUUCUGAGAGAGAGAUACUAAAAUCUCCACUAAUUUUGAGGCUUUGUUUGAGAUUCACA
rnacentral:lncRNA from 1 species